rnacentral:tRNA from 1 species
GCCCUGGUGGCGGAAUAGGUAGACGCUCAGGACUUAAAAUUCUGUGACCGUAAGGUCGUGCCGGUUCGAUUCCGGCCCGGGGCA